rnacentral:lncRNA from 1 species
GCUCCAGUGGUGAGGCACGAUUGGUUUGGUCACAAGCGACAUCAUGUCAGUUUAUGGUUAGGACAAACAAUGAUAUAAUUUCGGAAUCAGCGUGUUGAGAAGGCCCUGCACACCAAAUUUCAAGGCCAUUGAGACGCCCCGCAAUAUCCAACUGACAAUUGGGUAUCAAUCUGCUGCUAGGUUGACGGCCGUCUCAGCGUGCUCAGUCGGCGUUGCGAUCUGUUGUGUCGGAGAUGUUCAUUGCGUGCAUACUGAUUACGCGUAGUUUUGGGUGUUUUAGCAAAUAUAUAUCGCACUUUUCGAUUAGGCUGGGACAUUUGCGCUUGUCUCUUUAUAGCCUUGGAUCUUCUGCGUUGAAGCUUUGCCUGUUUGUUCAGUUGCCAGUCAUGGGUAAACAUCCAUCACGUAUGAAAGUGCGCUGUUGGCACGUGAACUGUGGUUUUAAUGGAGAAGGAAGAAACUUGAAAAGGCACAUGAACAAUAAGCAUAAAAGGUUGCCAAUUGUCCUUAAUAAUUCAAGUUUUGGUGUAGGUGGAAAGUGGGGAUCUUGCUCCAAGGAAUGAACAGUGGCACAGAUGGCAGAGCACAAGGCACCAACACUUUUGAGAUGCUAGGUAGGUCAUCCAGUCUAGCUGUGCCAUCAGUCUCUGCAGAUGAGACUGGAGGUCCGCCCUAUCGUGGCGUUUGGUGCGGCCCUGGUCCACAACUUGAAGGCAAGGAGAGAGGGAGGUGGUGCGGAUGGUGGAAGAAAAGGAACAGCAAACGAGGCGCUCCUGCACAACAUGCUCUAUGUCCGGUCGGUUGGUGACCUAAAGGGUUUCCGGACCCAAAAGAUCAGUCGACGUCCAGGUGAGCACAGUCUCCGAAGCCAUCGGACAUCUGGUGUCCAGCAAGCUGAUCCGGCCAUCGGCUGCGGCGCCGAGCUGCAGCGUUUGCGAAGCAAUCAGCAUCCUGCAUAGUGAGGAACGCACUAGCUCCAACCAAGCUCUCUUGAAAGCUUUGUGGAAACGUGGUCGCUCGAUGGAACCUUUCGUCAGUCUAGUUGUCCGCGUGUGGCUGCUCAGCCCUGUCGAAAGUGUGGUUGAGUCCAUGGGCAGCGUCCUCAAGGAGGUUUUCUUCAUGCAUCGGCAGCUGAGGCAUGACAAUGCCGCGAACAAGCUCACGAUUCGAUGGAAUGAUCCUGAGCUUGAUGGUGCCGAACAUCUCAUAAGAGCUGUUCAGAAGCGUCACCAAUUUGACUUCGUGAGGCGGUCUGUCAACGUGAAGCACCUGCUCACGGGAACGGUGAUCGCCCGCCAUAAAGCAUACCAAUCAUAUCGCUCAUGCCUUUUCAAGUAGUUGAGGAGAAAAGGAGUGUUGACAUUGUGAGUCAGCCCAUGGAUCAAAUUUUACAUGCGCGAUUAACGUCCUCGAGCUCACGGCGAGUGCUGAAGUACUGUAGACAAGGUUUCGUUGUGUGCUGAACUGUACGCGGCGUAUUUGGCAUUUUGUACUGACACCAUGUCGGCGUGAUUUCAUACAUAUCCAAGGUGAAUUCAGUGUAAAUACAAAAAA